rnacentral:rRNA from 1 species
AGUGAACGCUGGCGGUAGGCCUAACACAUGCAAGUCGAACGGCAGCACAGGAGAGCUUGCUCUCUGGGUGGCGAGUGGCGGACGGGUGAGGAAUACAUCGGAAUCUACUUUUUCGUGGGGGGUAACGUAGGGAAACUUACGCUAAUACCGCAUACGACCUACGGGUGAAAGCAGGGGAUCUUCGGACCUUGCGCGAUUGAAUGAGCCGAUGUCGGAUGAGCUAGUUGGCGGGGUAAAGGCCCACCAAGGCGACGAUCCGUAGCUGGUCUGAGAGGAUGAUCAGCCACACGGGAACUGGGACACGGUCCAGACUCCUACGGGAGGCAGCAGUGGGGAAUAUUGGACAAUGGGCGCAAGCCUGAUCCAGCCAUACCGCGUGGGUGAAGAAGGCCUUCGGGUUGUAAAGCCCUUUUGUUGGGAAAGAAAUCCAGCUGGUUAAUACCCGGUUGGGAUGACGGUACCCAAAGAAUAAGCACCGGCUAACUUCGUGCCAGCCGCCGCCGUAA